UCCGGUUUGUCACCGGCAGUCUCCUUAGAGUCCCCGGCUUGACCCGAUGGUAACUAAGGACAAGGGUUGCGCUCGUUACGGGACUUAACCCAACAUUUCACAACACGAGCUGACGACAGCCAUGCAGCACCUGUCUCCACGCUCCUUUCGGCACUCCAGCCUCUCGGCUAGAUUCGUGGGAUGUCAAGAGUAGGUAAGGUUCUUCGCGUUGCAUCGAAUUAAACCACAUGCUCCACCGCUUGUGCGGGCCCCCGUCAAUUCAUUUGAGUUUUAACCUUGCGGCCGUACUCCCCAGGCGGAGAACUUAUCGCGUUAGCUUCGCCACUAAGUCUUCUAAGAGUCCCAACAGCUAGUUCUCAUCGUUUACAGCAUGGACUAC
rnacentral:misc_RNA from 1 species